rnacentral:rRNA from 1 species
UACGUAGGGUGCAAGCGUUGUCCGGAAUUAUUGGGCGUAAAGAGCUCGUAGGCGGCUUGUUGCGUCGACCGUGAAACCCGUGGCUCAACUGCGGCCUGCAGCCGAUACGGGCAGCUAGAGUUCGGUAGGGGAGACUGGAAUUCCUGGUGUAGCGGUGAAAUGCGCAGAUAUCAGGAGGAACACCAGUGGCGAAGGCGACUACCUGGCCUGUUCUUGACGCUGAGGCGCGAAAGCUAGGGGAGCAAACGGG